UUUUGCCCCAACUUGAAUCUUUGCUUGGUUUUGCCAUUGAAAAGGAUUUGUGACUCCCCUGGCACUGACACUGGCUUUGGCCCUGGCUGCUCUUAUCACUGCCGCCGCUGCUUGCCUUCCAGCCCGGAAGGUAAGCCCGGGCCAAGAACAUUUCCAAUUGCCAUGACAGCAGACAGGGGGGGUGCGGAGGGGUGUAGAGAUUUCAACGAGUCGAUUGCUCAAAUAACAUGCAACAAAAUAAGCAAUCAUCAAUGUGCAACAGCAGACGAGACAACAAUGAGGCAAGGAUUACCCACAAGCAGGUCGUUGAACUUUCGUGGAGAUAAGCGACUAAAUGUCUACGAAUAUGCAAGUGAGUGAGCCGCCCAGAGACUGGCGCAUCGAAGGGGCAUCAAGUUCUUGCAACAACAAAGGAAAGCGAUAUCCGAUCCCCCAGAUCCCGGUAGCCGGUUACUCACUGAACAGCAAACUCUGGCCAUCACCCCACUUAAAAAUUCUUAAAAAGAAACAAGACCUCAUAAAUAAACCAUAAAAACAUAAA